UAGGGAAAUCUUCGGCAAUGGGGGCAACCCUGACCGAGCAACGCCGCGUGAGUGAAGAAGGUUUUCGGAUCGUAAAGCUCUGUUGUAAGAGAAGAACGUGUGUGAGAGUGGAAAGUUCACACAGUGACGGUAACUUACCAGAAAGGGACGGCUAACUACGCGCCAGCAGCCGCGGUAAUACGUAGGUCCCGAGCGUUGUCCGGAUUUAUUGGGCGUAAAGCGAGCGCAGGCGGUUUAAUAAGUCUGAAGUUAAAGGCAGUGGCUUAACCAUUGUUCGCUUUGGAAACUGUUAAACUUGAGUGCAGAAGGGGAGAGUGGAAUUCCAUGUGUAGCGGUGAAAUGCGUAGAUAUAUGGAGGAACACCGGUGGCGAAAGCGGCUCUCUGGUCUGUAACUGACGCUGAGGCUCGAAAGCGUGGGGAGCAAACAGGAUUAGAUACCCUGGUAGUCCACGCCGUAAACGAUGAGUGCUAGGUGUUAGGCCCUUUCCGGGGCUUAGUGCCGCAGCUAACGCAUUAAGCACUCCGCCUGGGGAGUACGNCCGCAAGGUUG
rnacentral:rRNA from 1 species